rnacentral:rRNA from 1 species
UACGGGGGGGGGUAAGCGUUGUUCGGAAUUACUGGGCGUAAAGGGCUCGUAGGCGGCCAACUAAGUCAUACGUGAAAUCCCUCAGCUUAACUGGGGAACUGCGUGUGAUACUGGAUGGCUUGGAUUGGGAGAGGGAUGCGGAAUCCCAGGUGUAGCGGUGAAAUGCGUAGAUAUCUGGAGGAACACCGGUGGCGAAGGCGGCAUCCUGGACCAAUAUUGACGCUGAGGAGCGAAAGCCAGGGGAGCAAACGGG